rnacentral:rRNA from 1 species
UACAGGGGGUGCAAACGUUGCUCGGAAUCAUUGGGCGUAAAGGGCUCGUAGGCGGUUUGUCGCGUCGGGAGUGAAAUCCACUGGCUUAACUGGUGGCUUGCUUUCGAUACGGGCAGACUGGAGGUAUGCAGGGGAGAACGGAAUUCCUGGUGUAGCGGUGAAAUGCGCAGAUAUCAGGAGGAACACCGGUGGCGAAGGCGGUUCUCUGGGCAUGUCCUGACGCUGAGGAGCGAAAGUGUGGGGAGCGAACAGG